rnacentral:rRNA from 1 species
UGCGUAGGUGGUAUGUUAAGUCAGAUGUGAAAGCCCUGGGCUCAACCUGGGAACGGCAUUUGAAACUGGCAAACUAGAGUAUGGUAGAGGGAAGUGGAAUUUCCGGUGUAGCGGUGAAAUGCGUAGAUAUCGGAAGGAACACCAGUGGCGAAGGCGGCUUCCUGGACCAUAACUGACACUGAGGCACGAAAGCGUGGGGAGCAAACAGGAUUAGAUACCCUGGUAGUCC